rnacentral:ncRNA from 1 species
CGAUCAGUAGCUGGUCUGAGAGGACGACCAGCCACACUGGGACUGAGACACGGCCCAGACUCCUACGGGAGGCAGCAGUGGGGAAUUUUGGACAAUGGGCGAAAGCCUGAUCCAGCAAUGCCGCGUGUGUGAAGAAGGCCUUCGGGUUGUAAAGCACUUUUGUCCGGAAAGAAAUCCUUGGUCCUAAUACGAUCGGGGGAUGACGGUACCGGAAGAAUAAGCACCGGCUAACUACGUGCCAGCAGCCGCGGUAAUACGUAGGGUGCAAGCGUUAAUCGGAAUUACUGGGCGUAAAGCG